rnacentral:rRNA from 1 species
AUUGAACGCUGGCGGCAUGCUUUACACAUGCAAGUCGAACGGUAACAGGCCGCAAGGUGCUGACGAGUGGCGAACGGGUGAGUAAUGCAUCGGAACGUGCCCAGUCGUGGGGGAUAACGCAGCGAAAGCUGUGCUAAUACCGCAUACGAUCUAUGGAUGAAAGCGGGGGACCGUAAGGCCUCGCGCGAUUGGAGCGGCCGAUGUCAGAUUAGGUAGUUGGUGGGGUAAAGGCUCACCAAGCCAACGAUCUGUAGCUGGUCUGAGAGGACGACCAGCCACACUGGAACAGAGACACGGCACAGACUCCUACGGGAGGUAGCAGUGGGGAAUUUUGGACAAUGGGCGAAAGCGUGAUCCAGCAAUGCCGCGUGCAGGAAGAAGGCCUUCGGGUUGUAAACUGCUUUUGUACGGAGCGAAAAGGUCUCCUCUAAUACAGGGGGCUCAUGACGGUACCGUAAGAAUAAGCACCGGCUAACUACGUGCCAGCCGCCGCAGUAA